AAAUAGAAAAAAAUGUAUCUCGCUUCGAACUAAUCAAAAAAAUAUUCGUUUUUUAUUCUAUAGGAAAUUGCUCUUCAAAAACAGUCGAAAACGAAUUUUUAUUAGUUAAAAGAAAAUUUUUGCCUCUGAUCUUAUUAAGUCUUAUCACAGCAUUUUGGACGCUGAAGUAUUUACUUAUUGAUUUAUCGCACUUCUAGUAGCUUUUGAUGGAUCCGAUAUCCGAUUUCAUCAAUUUUUACAGUGUCGAUUGGGGUGAUCAAGUGAUUUGUCCUGACCAAAUUUGGAUAUUUACCACAUUUACCACAAAUAGAUUUUUUUUUAUUUUAAGUGUUAUUUUUGUGUUAUGUUAUUUUUAAUCUACUGUUUAGUUAUGACUUUUUAUAGAUUUUCUCUUGAUGGCGUUUUGUGGGUAUGACAGUGGUCUAAUUAUGUUCAUCUACGAACUGGUCACCUUUUUCCGGACGGACAGACAGUCAGUCGAUUUUCAACUCGUCUCGUCAUCCUGCACAUUUAUGUAUGUAUAUACAACCCUAUAUAUCGGGUCAUCCAAUAAUAUUUACAAUCUCAUCAUAGAAAGAUAUACAGGUCGUACCUGGAGAGCUUUUCUCAGAGUUGUCUAUCCACCAAUUUUUCAGAGAACGAAGCGAAAAACACCAUCGUUUUUUUACCCACCCUAGAGUAUAUAUGUAUGUAUGUGUUCAUUUAUUUAUUUAAAAAACAUGUACGUGCCAAACAAAUUAUUUUUUAUUUCUCGUCUACAUAGGUGAGUAGGUCUGUAUAUGAACGUAAAAACACAGCACAAAGAUAUUUAUAUGUAUCACACAUACGUUUUUAGUAUUUGUACAACUGUAAUGUUAUGUACAUACAUACAUAUAUUAAUAUACUUGUAUAAGCAUAAUAUAAUGAAGUUAUUAUGUAUAGAUGAUUUAAAUGCAAAAACAUAC
rnacentral:misc_RNA from 1 species